UACGUAGGGGGCGAGCGUUGUCCGGAUUUAUUGGGCGUAAAGAGCGUGUAGGCGGCCAUGUAGGUCCGUUGUGAAAACUCGAGGCUCAACCUCGAGACGUCGGCGGAAACCCUCAGGCUAGAGUCCGGAAGAGGAGAGUAGAAUUCCUGGUGUAGCGGUGAAAUGCGCAGAUAUCAGGAAGAACACCCGUGGCGAAGGCGGCUUUCUGGGACGGUACUGACGCUGAGACGCGAAAGCGUGGGGAGCGAACAGG
rnacentral:rRNA from 1 species